rnacentral:lncRNA from 1 species
GAGCAGGCGAAGAUGGCACCAUGUACUUGUGUGUAUAUAUAUAUGUACCUCACUCCACUUCACUUCACUUCACUUCACAUCACUUCUCCUCACUUAAUGCAGCAACUUGAAUGGGCGUGUCCACGCCCUCAUCCUAUUUGGCACACAUUCCGUAAAACCCGCGUAAACAAAAGGCCCACGAACGCGCGCACUGAUGAAUCUCCGAAGUGCAUUCAACGUUGCCUUUGCCCAAAACCGUUUGAAACUUUUGCCUUAGCGCGCUCUCGCUUGGAUCGGACUCUGACUCUGGCUCUGUUUCUGUUUCUGGCUUCUUGUGGGUUCCGAGCGACUCGAUUUUCCCGCUCGACGUCCGAC